CAGUAUUGGUUAGUUGGGUGAGUUUGUUACGUUUUUUUACAGUAAGGAUGUUGAAGAAGCAGGUGGAACAGUAUAAAAGGAUGGGUGAGGAGAAAGUCAGA